GACGAACGCUGGCGGCGUGCCUAAUACAUGCAAGUCGAGCGAAGAGGGGACGGGUGAGUAACACGUGGAUAACCUCCUAUAAGACUGGGAUAACUUCGGGAAAACAGAGCUAAAACGGGUACUUCUAGAUUGUACCACGCUGCAUUAGCUAGUUGGUAAGGUAACGGCUUACAAAGGCAACGAUGCGUCGCCGACCUGAGAGGGUGAUCGGCCACACUGGAAGUGAGACACGGUCCAGACUCCUACGGUAGGCAGCAGUAGGGAAUCUUCCGCAAUGGGCGAAAGCCUGACGGAGCAACGCCGCGUGAGUGAUGAAGGUCUUCGGGUCGUAAAACUCUGUUAUCAGGGAAGCGGUACCUAAUCAGAAAGCCCCGGCUAACUACGUGCCAGCAGCCGCGGUAAUUC
rnacentral:rRNA from 1 species